rnacentral:rRNA from 1 species
UACGUAGGCAGCGAGCGUUGUUCGGAGUUACUGGGCGUAAAGGGUGUGUAGGCGGUUGUUUAAGUUUGGGGUGAAAUCUCCCGGCUCAACUGGGAGGGUGCGCCGAAUACUGAAUGACUAGAGUGCGGGAGAGGUGAGUGGAAUUCCUGGUGUAGCGGUGAAAUGCGUAGAUAUCAGGAGGAACACCGGUGGUGUAGACGGAUCUCUGGGCCUUACCUGACGCUCAGGUGCGAAAGCUAGGGGAGCGAACAGG